rnacentral:rRNA from 1 species
CGCCAGGAUAUUACGAGCCUAUGCUUAAAACCCAAAGGACUUGACGGUGUCCCACCCAUCUAGAGGAGCCUGUUCUAUAAUCGAUAACCCCCGCUACACCCCACCAUUUCUUGCCCCCCCCGCCUGUAUACCGCCGUCGCAAACCUACCAUAUGAAUGUCUUCAGUAGGUUAAAAGGCCCUCGCCAACACGUCAGGUCAAGGUGCAGCUCAUGAAAUGGGAAGAAAUGGGCUACAAUUUCUAAGCUAGAACAAACGAAAAACUAUGUGAAACCACAGUAUCGAAGGCGGAUUUAGUAGUAAAAAGAAAAUAGCGUGUUCUUUUUAACUCGGCCCUGGGACGUG